GACGAGGGAUCCUAGCGUUGUUCGGAAUUAUUGGGCGUAAAGCGGGUGUAGGCGGGCUUAUAAGUCAGGUGUGAAAUCCCAGGGCUCAACCCUGGAAGUGCACUUGAUACUGUAAGUCUUGAAUGUGGUAGAGGUUACUGGAAUUCCUGGUGUAGUGGUGAAAUACGUAGAGUAUCAGGAGGAACACCGGAGGCGAAGGCGGGUAACUGGGCCAACAUUGACGCUGAGACCCGAAAGCGUGGGGAGUCAAACAGG
rnacentral:rRNA from 1 species